rnacentral:rRNA from 1 species
UACGUAGGGGUCAAGCGUUACUCGGCAUUACUGGGCGUAAAGGGUGAGUGGGCGGCUGGUCAAGUCAAGGAUGAAAGCCCGAGGCUCAACUUCGGAACCGUCCUUGAAACUGCUCAGCUUGAGGGUAGUUGAGGAGAGCGGAAUUCCCGGUGGAGCGGUGAAAUGCGUAGAUAUCGGGAGGAACACCUGAGGCGAAGGCGGCUCUCUAAGCUACUCCUGACGCUGACUCACGAAAGCUAGGGGAGCAAACGGG